rnacentral:rRNA from 1 species
CAGAUUGAACGCUGGCGGCAUGCCUAACACAUGCGAGUCGAACGGGAGUAGCAAUACUCUAGUGGCGGACGGGUGAGGAAUACGUAGGAAUUUGCCCUUAAGUGGGGGAUAACCCGGGGAAACCCGGAUUAAUACCGCAUGACCUCGAAAGAGCAAAGUGGGGGAUCGCAAGACCUCACGCUUUUGGAGAAGCCUACGUCGGAUUAGCUAGUUGGUGAGG